rnacentral:rRNA from 1 species
GACGUAGGGCGCGAGCGUUGUCCGGAUUUAUUGGGCGUAAAGAGCUCGUAGGCGGCUUGUUGCGUCGACCGUGAAAACCCGGGGCUCAACUUCGGGCUUGCGGUCGAUACGGGCGGGCUAGAGUUCGGUAGGGGAGACUGGAAUUCCUGGUGUAGCGGUGAAAUGCGCAGAUAUCAGGAGGAACACCGGUGGCGAAGGCGGGUCUCUGGGUAGUAACUGACGCUGAGGAACGAAAGCGUGGGUAGCGAACAGG